GCUACUUUGGCACAGCAUAACGAUCCUACUUGUCUACUUUCUAGUACUCCUCCUUGGAUUAUUGAUUCAGGUGCCACUCAUCAUAUGACUAGUGAUUCUCGUCUUCUCACAUCCACCUCAUCUGUUCCUUCUACGUCGGUUACCUUAGCAGAUGGCUCUCAAUCCAGAGUAGCUGGUGCGGGAUCGGAAGACUGGGCGCCGAAUAGGUGGUGGGCGUGAGACCGGUGGAUUGUACAUCCUGGAUCCCGAGAUUAUUGUUGCUGCUACAACAGUUCAGAAUAAAGCUGUGGAUGAUUCAUAUAGGUUACAUUGUCGUCUUGGUCACCCAUCAGCGGACGUACUCCGACGAUUUCCUUUUAUGUCUAGUUCGAGUCUUCAAUUUAAUUGUGAAACUUGUCGGUUGGGCAAACAUCAUCGUGCGUCUUUUUCCCCUCGAGUUUUGAGUCGUGCUUCCCAACCAUUUGAGUUAGUUCACUCUGAUGUGUGGGGUCCUAGUCGAGAGUCUUCAUUUGGUCUUCGUUAUUUUGUCACUUUCAUCGAUGACCGUACUCAUACCACUUGGUUAUAUCUAAUAAAAGAUCGUACUGAAGUUUUUCAUUCUUUUCUCCAGUUUUAUAAUGAAGUACGUACUC